rnacentral:lncRNA from 1 species
CGCCUCGCGCCCUCGCCCCUCUUGCUCCCCUCCCGCCGCCAGCCCCGUUGGGGAGAGGAAAAGGAGGAUUAGGAAAUUCUUGUCUGACGAGUAGCAGAAUUUCUCUACGUCGUUGGCUGUUGCAGCGAGGUCCGGGCCUUCGUGGGAUUUGUAAGAAUCUCUGCUUCCCACAUGUUCUUACUCUGCGAUCUGAUCUAGUUUGAUGUUUGUUUUGUCUGGUCUUCGAUUAUGUUAAGAAUCAAUUUAUCAUAGACGAGGUGGUCAAUCAUGAAUCCAUUUUAUAAAUUUGGUGUAAUGAACUCAUUGCUCAUAUUAUUAUUAAUUAUUAGCCUAUAAAUCUAUGAUGAAUAAAAUGGUGAUAGAUCAAUUAAACCAAACAAAAAAAAGUAAGGAGUGAUAAGUUGAUGUCCAAACACACCGUAAAUCUAUCUCUAGCACGUAAGCGUUUUUUAUCUCUCAUAAAGGGUGGUCUAGUUUCAUUCCAGAAAACAAUUUCUAGGGACAAAAAAAAGAAGGGACACUCCCUGUUUCAGCUUCUUCUCUCAAGCAUGCUGAUUUCUUACAUUGUGUAAAGGUGACGUUGAAGUCCUUUCAAUACUAAUGAUGUACAUUUCCUUUUUUUUUGCAGUUCAUACUCUACAGUCGUAUGAUUGAUUCUACAUAUUGAAGAAAAAACAGGGCCUUCGCUAUGGUACUUCGUUUACAUUUGAUUUUACCAAUAUUUAAUGCAUCAUGUACAUAAUAAUCAACCAAAAAUGGAGUUAACCCACCAGCGUGGAAGAAUGAAUUAGAUUUGGCAACGACUGCUAUGCAAGCAGUCCUUCUGUGCAAGCGUGCAAGCAAAUCAUCUGAUCCAUUAGAUUGUGAUCCAACCGUAAGGCAUAUUUAACACUUAAACUCUUCCACCACUAGAUCAAUAAUCUUUAUAAAAAACUCCUAACAAACCAUGAUUAUAUAUGUGGUUGGAUCGUAAUCUAAUGGAUCAGAUGGUUUACUUGUACGGUUGUACAGAAGGACUGCUUACAUAACAGUCGUUGCCAUUAGAUUUGGCGAGCAACACACAGCACUUGAGUCUUUCCUUUCAUGCGCUCCAUAGGGAGAGAGACGGACGGAGAAGAAAAAAAAGUUAUCUACCCUUACCUCUGUGCUAUCGUAGCUGUCGCCAAGCUGCCACACUGGGAGUCCCUCUCCGACGUCCGACUGUCACCGCUAGCCCCCUUCACACGCUGAUCGUGUAUUUUUUUUUUGUCGAAUACGCAGGAGAGCUGCGCAUCUUUGUUAAUAGAAGAAGAUUACGAACACAAAUACAAAAACAAGAGCUGGCCAACCAGCUCAACACAGAGCCGACUACUCGCUCAGAAUACAACCAAGGGCUUUCGCGCCCGCUCUCACCCACUCGCUAGCAACACCAAGAGCGGAAGAAACUACGGCGUCAACUGAGGAUGCCUCACUCCGGAAGCACCUUGCAUUUCUCUCUUUCCAAACUUCCCAAGUCACCAACGCAAAGAGAGAAUCACCGCCCUUCCUGGCGCCCGGUGGCCACAGCUCCCGCACUCUUUGCCACCAACCAAGGACUGAACUGCAAUCUGUUAGCGACGGUAUGUGAAGCCCCAAUUGCGACAAAAUGCCAUCCCAAACUCGAAGGGAGAAGCUGCAAGUGGCCAGUAGAUGGUCGCAAGUUUCUUCCGCUGUAUUGCAGAGGUAGCAAGUGGUUCUCGCAUCGAGUCCGUGACGCCGUCGCCUGUCUGCGGUCCAGAGCCGCCUCCGCCAGGCAAGCCACAAGAAGAUUUUGACCCUCAACGGCGCCCACGUCUUCCACACGAUCGCGAUCUCGGGUAGGUGGAGAGAGCCUUCAUGGAGCAGCUGGUACGUCGAUCGCACACUGAAAUGGCCGUCAGACGACCAACGCCACAACAACCUGUCCGGGGUCGAAGGAGAAAGGUUGAUCUCUCGCACAGCGUCCCACAGCUUCAGGUAUUGAGAGAUCGCCUGAACCGAAAAUCCUCCCCUCAGUUCUCUGAUCCAUUGAUUCCCUUGCAAGGCCACGGCUACGGACUGUGACGAUCUUGUCCGUUUGGCCACGAGGCCAAUCAGCGCAGGAGCGAUGUCUUCGACCGACGAACCGGCGAUCCACCUGUCCUUCCAGAACAACGUCCGCUGCCCGUUGCCGACCUCAAAGUUCGCAGACGCAUGGAACAGGCACCGGACUUCUGGGGCGACCUUCAGAGGUAGCUCCGUCCAGGCCCGGCCAUCGUCCGCGGGAUUGCGUUGAAGCCAAAGCCAGCGAACCUGAAGAGCCAAGCCCAUGAGGCGCAAAUCCAAUACUCCAAGGCCGCCGAACUCAUACGGUCGUGCGACCACGGGCCAGGCCACGGCGCAUUUGCCGCGUACAGAAGCGUCCGCGCCCGCCCACAAGAAGCGUCUGCAGCAGGCCUCAAUCUCCUCUCGUGCCCAAGUUGGAAUACCGUUGGCCAUCAUCGCGUAGAUCGGCACCGCCGUCAUGACUGAUUUAAUCCACACAAGGCGACCACCACGGGACAUCAUCGAUCCUCGCCACGCUGGCAGUCUGGCCGCCACCUUGUCCACGAGUCCCUGUACUUUGUUCUUGGGGAUGGCCCCCGAAUGCAACGGCAGGCCCAAGUAAGUGACAGGCAGCUCGACGAUCUUGCAACCCAAGGAGCACACAACGCCGGCGAGAUCUGUCUCACGGCCUGACAAAGGAGACACAGAGCACUUGGCCAGAUUGAUCUUCAGGCCAGCGGAAUCUCCAAAUAGCAGCAGGAGGCUCUUGAUGGCUUCGACUUCUUCCACGACUGGUUCCAUGAAUAAAAUCACAUCAUCUGCAUAGAAGCUGCAUCUGGAUUUGACAGCUGACGGACCAAGUGGUCUAAGGAUCCCGGCAUCGUCCGCCUUGCAGAACAGCUUGUUAAGAACCUCCAUGGCGAUGAUGAAGAGAAGUGGAGAGAGGGCAUCCCCCUGGCGCACCCCUCUGCGAUGUGUGAUCGGUGCCCCAGGAACGCCAUUUAGCAGUAUCCUGGAGGAAGCUGUAGACAGCAAGAUUGAAAUCCAAUUGCACCAACGAGUACUGAAAUCCAAUUGAAAUCCAAUUGCACCAACGACGCUGAUCGUGUAUUGAAAUAUAGUCUUGUGCUUACCAAAAUAAGUGUGUUAUUGCUUUAGUUGUCUUUGCAUACAUGAUGUUACAACCCAAGUUUAUUGGCAUUUUUCUGCCGUGGAUGCUUCCAGAUGCGCAAAAAAGAAGAAAAAAAGGAGGGAGGUUUCCAUCUUUGCCAUCAGUGGCGGCGCCUCCUGCUUCUUCGUUAGUGACCACGGUCUCCACUGCCAUUGCGCUCCAUGUUCUCGUUGUCGCACGCUUCUCAUGUAUUUUGCGUAUUUUUAAUGUUACAAUACACGCGCGCAUGACGUGCACACUAUACUCUGUAGUUACCAUAUCAAUGCUGGAUUAUUUAAAAUCAAAUCAGCCAUAUAUGAUAUAUUUGAAUUCUGAACAGUCAACCAACUAUAUCGAUACAACAAUAUUUCUGAAAUUAUCAUUUCUUUCCAAGGGACAAAAACUAGCAGUAGUAAACUACCAUAGGAAGGCUUCUACUAUAUAUUAAAGCUCGGAGCAAAUCUGCUCAAACACAAUAUCCAUGUCACCUCUUUUUCACGAACUGUACAAUCCUUUAUCAACGACGAGCACCAGCUGAACCUUUCCUUUCGUGCGCUCCGCACUAAACGCAUGUGUCCUCCUCUAAGCAGAGAAACAGACGAAGAAGAGAAAAAAAAUCCGCUAUCCUUACCUUCGCAACACGUUUUGUCGAGUCGGUCAGCCGAGCUAGGAUGAAAAAAGAAUGACCUCAAUGCUAAAAACUGGUUUGUAGUUUCAGAUGAAAUAGGGUUUGUUCUAUUGUUAUUUUUUAUUCAUAUAGUACUAGAACACAAUUAGUUGGUCAUAAUUUCUUUCAAUCGGCCACCCCCAUCAAUAAGAUAUAUCUGAGUUUGUCAGUUGAUAGCGUUGCAAUUUUUAUUACAGGUUAUCUAUGACAAAUUGACAGGAAGAAACUGUGAAUUCGGGUUGUGACCGUGUCUUCGAUCGAAGAAGUUGAGGCGGUUAUCUUUCAAAAAAAAAGAAGUUGAGGCGGUUGCUGAGCAAUUUAAUGGCUAUGUGAGUUCACUUCAGCUCUUCUAGAGCUAUGCACAUUCUUUUGCUGUCAUAGUGGACCAUUCUCCUGUUUACUUACAAUUGUAAACUUAGCAAUACUCUAUGAAUUAUGUGAUGUUCAUCACUCAUGGCUUCCUACCAGAUCACACAUUGCAUAAAUGAAGUUCAAC